GCACCCUUUGUAACCCCUUAAGUUAUUAAAAAAAGAUGUUUUUUUCCUAUUUUUGCAUGGAAUAGAACAUCUGAGGAUCAAUUGUAGCUCCAAAGGUUGGGAUCAACACUGAAGAAAGCCAUGGUGAUGCCUUCCAGAAGGUUCUUCUGCCUACUAUACCACCUGGACAGGUCAUGGGCCUCUGAGGAGCACCUUAGUAUGAGAAGAUGCCCCUCUGAUGUGGGAAGACCCAACAUUAUUUUCGUUGGAAAGGAACUCACGGAGCUGACGUGUCAGUGGGUUCUGCCUGGAGUCAUGAGGACAACCCACAGAGUGUCUGUCCUCCAUCUGCACCUGAUAUCAACCAAUAACCAACCAUCACCAACAAUGAACACCAGCAAAAGGAACCAUGCCUAACAAGAGUCAGAGAGAAAACUUUGCUGGUCAGCUAGAAGACCAGAAGAUCUUGUGAGAGAUUGUUUUGAGAACUGCUGCUGAGCAGAGCCAUCAUACCUGCAACAGGUAGGACC
rnacentral:lncRNA from 1 species